rnacentral:tRNA from 1 species
UAUAGAAAUGGCAGACAAGUGCAUUAGGUUUAAGCCCUAAAUAUAAAGAUGAAAGUUCUUUUUUUUAUAA